rnacentral:rRNA from 1 species
GACGAACGCUGGCGGCGUGCCUAAUACAUGCAAGUAGAACGCACAGUUUAUACCGUAGCUUGCUACACCAUAGACUGUGAGUUGCGAACGGGUGAGUAACGCGUAGGUAACCUGCCUGGUAGCGGGGGAUAACUAUUGGAAACGAUAGCUAAUACCGCAUAAUAUUAAUUAUUGCAUGAUAAUUAAUUGAAAGGUGCAAUUGCACCACUACCAGAUGGACCUGCGUUGUAUUAGCUAGUAGGUGAGGUAACGGCUCACCUAGGCGACGAUACAUAGCCGACCUGAGAGGGUGAUCGGCCACACUGGGACUGAGACACGGCCCAGACUCCUACGGGAGGCCGCAGUAGGGAAUCUUCGGCAAUGGACGAAAGUCUGACCGAGCAACGCCGCGUGAGUGAAGAAGGUUUUCGGAUCGUAAAGCUCUGUUGUAAGAGAAGAACGGGUGUGAGAGUGGAAAGUUCACACUGUGACGGUAUCUUACCAGAAAGGGACGGCUAACUACGUG